UAAAGUGCCAAGUGGCUUUCCCUUUCUUUUAAGGUACAUUUUUGCAACAGGUUCUAUACCAACAAGUAAAGCUCAACACAGGGGUGAGUUACAACAGCUAAAAAGUCACUAUUCACUUCUCCCCAGGAUUAAUUCAAUACACACGCACACAACAGGGGGUGUCACACACUCCCAAAAAAGGAAAGGAAGGUCUCUUAGAUCUACAUAUAAAGUGCUCGAGCUUCAUAACAUCAUAUCAAGUGGCAUCAGGCGGCUCGGCAACUCUCGUGGUCAUCCAAGCUCUUCGCCUUGGCUACUCGAGGGAUUUGUAAAGGACAUCUCCCAACAAUUAAUGUUGCUCGUAGGAAGAGGACCCCUGUCAUAACAAACAUCACGAUGAUUAAAUACUACUAGAAAAAACACAGUUGGAAGUCGACAGUCAUACAGGCAAAAUAAAAGCAACUGUAACCAGCCUCCUCCGGUUCUAGUAUUUCUCGUUGCUAGUAGGUCUGAGUCUGACUAUCUCUUCAUUCAGUAGUUGAAGCUUAACCAAUCAAGUCCUCCUGCCUACUACAACAUACAUGGGCAUUCUACUCCUAAGUCAUUAUAGAUUGAAGAGUUUGUUCAUCAUGACAACUUAAUCUAUAGUCCAAAGCACAUAUUUAUUAUAUUAUGACAUCCUAAACAACCAUACAGCCAUAAUAAAGCAAUUGCGACUGAGCAAAUCCUUAAUUAAGAGUGCAUUCUGGCAGCUCAAACACAUAUGUGCAUUCUACUCCUAUGCCACUACAGAUCAAAUGCAACUGCAAUCGUACUGGAUCUAGUCGAAAACAUGGACCUAGAAUAUGCAUGAUUAUCACAAGAUUUUCUCAAUAGCCAUACAACCAACAUAAAGCAACUAAGACAAUCCUUGCAGCGCAUUCUGGUAAGUGAAAUAUGAGUGCGCGUUCUACACUUGUACUCUUAAGUUACUACAGAAAAUGAAGGAAGCUUAAAAUCCGGGUCAGACUCCUAGCUUUUAUUUACAGACCUAUUCUUGGCAUUUUAACAGUACAACAAAGAAUAAAUAAACCUUUGAGAAAAAAUCAUUUCAAUCUGUAAUGGCAUAAGAUGAUUAGCACAAAAAUUUCCAAACAUUGAAAUACCCUAUCAAAGAUUAUCUCGAGACACAAGCAAUCAGUUAUAAUACACGCACAUGAAUGAGUAUCAUGGCAACGCAAUUGCAAUCUGCAGUCCAAAGCACAUAUCUAUAAUUAUGGCUAGCACAAGAUUUUCUCACAGUUGAAGCAUUUAAGGAUAAUCCUGACACAAGCAAUUGGCUAUAAUGCACAUAUAGGAAGAUGGACCUAUGAUGAUGGGUGUGGAACUGUGGAUGCAUUUCUUACCAGGCACGAGAAUUGCAGCUGUUAUUACGGUUAUCACCCAUGACAAAUACAUGGCCUUCAGGGAGCGCUGCAGGAAGAUGUACUGUUUUAGUACCAGAUGGAUCCGGGCAUAGAUCGAGAAAGGAUGGGAUGGGAGAGGGAGGGAGAGAUCAUCCACCAUCCGAGAUCCGUCAUUUCGAAAGAAUAAUAGGGUACACUCAGCAAGUCAACAACACGGAGCAGCCAUGCCACUUUGGUUCCCCCUCUUGCAGUAGUAGUAUGGUCAUUUGUUUGUGUAGUGACCCAUAGAAGUUUGGGUAUAAAAGUAUCUCAGGACCUGACAAUAGCAACUCCUCAAUGUUGUUUGAAAGAGAUGCAACAAACCAUGGCUUCCAUCGUGUACGAUCCACCAUGGAGUUGUAAUGUUCAUUUCUGUGCAACACCAUUAACAAUGUUGGCGUCCGGAUCAGCUUCGUAGGAGUGCCCGCCUAGCAAAAGCCUCAAGAGGACUCCCCUCAUCCUACGUUAAGCGUGCAGGCUUGGCUACUGUCACAUGGAAGAGGACCCCUCGGUGGACUGCUUAGCUCGCUACGCCGACAUGUUCAACGAGCCGCUACCCCCUGCUAGUAUAUAUGCUCUCACAACUGUUUGGCCUUGAGCCAUUCCCGGUCAUGGUGCGGGCUGUGCUGGUACACUAGACCAUCUUUGUUGGUUGACUGUACGUGUGGGCCUUCUCAAUGGAAUGUUCAAACCAUAAUGUGCUUGUGUGGAAUGUUCGUGGCCUUAAUAACCCGAUCCGUGUCGCUGUCAUCAGAUCGGUGGUGGAUGAAGCUAACGCAUCCGUGGUCUGUUUCGUCGAACCCAAGCCGGGAACAGUGGGUCAAUUCUCUAUCUCCAGGAUUCUUGGGAAUAAAUAUGACACGCUUUUGUAGCGUUGCCGGCUAACAACACGGCUGGAGGCAUUGUGGUGGCGCGGCAAUCUGCCUGCUUGGUCACGGUGGGUGCUAUGCUACUAGGGUGGAUGUUUUCUCGGUUACAGUGGAGCUUGGAAUGCUGGACGCCCCGGCUUGGCACCUGACGACGGUGGUCUAUGGCCCUACCGCAGAUCAACUGAAAGUGCCAUUCCUUCAGGAACUUGAUGUGGGAGCGCUGGCUACACUGUCAACUCAAGAAGAAAAUUCUAGGCUUGGCCUCUCUUCAGAGAACCACUGCUAGACAGCAAUCCGAAUGCUCUGGCUUAAAAAAGGGGAUGCAAACAUGGCGUUUUUCCAAUCGUUUGCCAGUGCAAGAAGACGCAUAAACCACAUCUUCAGACUGAGCUGUGAGGGCGUGGAGGCUAGCUAAUACUCAGCAAGCUAUGGACGCAAUUGCUGCAGGUCACUUGGAAGAGCUAAUUGGAGCUCCAAAACACAGAGUGCACUGUCUAAAUUUCGGUGAGCUUUGCCUCAAUGAGGCCUUCAUCACUCUUCUCCCCAAAAAGCAAGGAGCUGUGGAUAUCCGUGACUUUCGUCCUAUAAGCUUAGUACACAGCAUUGGCAAGAUCACCUCUAAGAUCAUGGCUACACAGGUUGCGCCUCUUAUUCUCACAAUGGUGCAUUCCAAUCAAAGCGCUUUCAUUGCAGGGCGUUGGAUCGUGGAUAACUUCCUUAUGGUACAGCAAUCCAUUCGAAUGUUGCAUCGUCGUCAGGUGCCUGCUACUAUGAUGAAAUUGGACAUUCCCAGGGCCUUCAACUCUGUUGACUGGGCUUCCCUUUUGAGCCUGUUGAAGCAUCGGGGUUUUGGUCCGAGGUGGAUCGCCAAGCUGGCUCUUCUCCUCUCUUCUGCUAGCGAUUGGAUCCUCCUCAAUGGUAGGCGGUCGCCCCGGAAACAAAUUCUGGCAUGCGCGUGGAUUGCGCCAAGGGGACCCUUUAUCGCCGUUGCCUUUUGUGGUUGUCAUGGACGCGCUGACUGCUACUCCCUCUGUUCCAAAAUAGAUGACUCAACUUUAUACUAACUUUAGUACAAAGUUAGUACAAAGUUGGGUCAUCUAUUUUGAAACGGAGGGAGUAUAUUCAGAAGGCAGAAGAAGGCAACUUGUUUCAACCAUUGGCACGGUGGGGAAUCAGACACCGCUUCUCGGUGUAUGCGGGCGAUGACAUACUAUUGAUCAAGCCUGAUGUUAAGGAAGCUAAAGCUGUGGUGGAGUUGCUGAAAUUGUUGGGUACUGCAACUGGUCUAACCUGCACUAUGGCAAAAAGCUCAACCUCUCUGAUCCGUUGCUCUGAAGAAAGCAUUACUGCAGUGUUCAAUCUCCUAGCUAGCUAGUUAACUGGAAGAUGGUUUGUACACCAAAAGAAUAUGGUGGCCUACUUAACCAAGCCCUUGUGUUAAAGUGGCGCUGGAUUGGAAAAGUUGCCCAAGGGAAACCGUGGGAGGGACUUGAUCUAGAGCUCCCUGUGGGUGCUCAGGGGAUCUUUGCUGCUGCUCUACGGCGCUCUCUUGGGAAUGGCACUAAGCUGCGCUUCUGGACUGACUGACUGACAGAUGGAUCAACGACAGCAGUUUAGAGCAGCUUGCCCCUUCCCUGUUUCAGCGGCCAAGCGGCGACUUGUUGCUGAUGCCCUGCCUAAUGCAGCAUGGAUCCUCGCUCCCGUCACGCCCACAAGGUGUUCGGCGGUAGGUCCGAACUUGAGCACGAACAACAACAAACAUGCCGGGGUUGCACUUCCAGGGCGGGUUAAUACGCUAGCUGCGGCCCCAACACCCAAGGAGUUCUUGCUGGGCGGGCCAUCCACUAGAGCCGUCUGUUGCCACCAAGUUCAGCACCACAGCACCUGCCAAGUGUUGGACAGAAUGGUGCCACGCCAAUGCCAAAGUGCAGCCAUCUGUAUGUUUUCGCCCAGGACAGGAAGCAACUCCGAGUGCAUCCUCAUGAUGGGGCGGUUAUGCUUGAUGGCAGAUGACAAGGCACCCAUUAAUGUUGGAGGUUUGUCCCUUUUCAUGGAGCCGUGUGUAGUGGCUGUUGGUGAGGUGGAGAAAAUGCCCUCCAAGGAUGCGGUGUGGGACGAGGAGCUUGCUCAUGAUGUGCUCACCGCAUGGGUGGCUUAUCACUAACUAUUCCUAGAGGCUAGAGCAGAUUAUGGAUAAUCACCAGGAGUUUGAGUGCGCAAGGGUCAAGCCCACAUGCUUGUAUCAUGGAGAAAGUCCAUCUAGCUAGCUAGGUUGGUCUUCCCUUGAUCAAGUACCAUCAACACAAAACAGACGGCUACUACUGCUCUCAGGGGAGAUGCUACAUGACACUCGUAUUGCUACCCUUUUCAUGCCAUGGGAUCCCGGUGUGUGGAUUAUUUUUGCCCAAGUACCAGAGCUUAGUGCAGCAGGAAUAGAUGGUAUUGAUGACUGGUCUUCAUGGCUGAGAUGCACAUCUUAGCAGGAACUUGGGGAUAAUCUUCACAACACAAAAUUCUUCUAUCAGGGAGUUGGCAUGUCUUGUCAGCUGGUCCUUAUGGCAUGGUGGUCGUCAAAUUAGAGCAGGGCCAGCGAGCAAAUUGUAGUCGCCACCUUCACAUGUUCUUUUGCCAGCCGGUUCUGGCUUUUUUUGGCUAGUUUUGUUAUUGGCCGUUUGGCUCUUUGUGAGCUUUUCUUUACUUUCGUUGGAGACUUUAAGACCUUGUUGAACCUAUUUGCUUAUUUAUAAAGUUGGCCGUAUGCAUCGUUCUGAUGCAGAGGCCGGGGAGUCCCCCCUUUUUGAAAAAAAAAACUUCACAUGUUGGGUCACAUAAUAAUGGGGCCGAUUAGAACCUUUGAUGUGGUGCUGGACUGCACUAGCUUAUGUCAAACAUAGGUGAAGAUGAACAUGUAUGUCACUGAAGCUGGCCACUUAACUAUUCUUCUGUGUCAACAGCUGAACAUUAUGGAGCUGAUACCUUGGACACACUUGUUGCUGUCAAUUUCUCUUGCACCGAUUCAGGAAUUCUUUUGGCUCCUCACAGUAAUAGGGCACUAACCAGCGAUGCAUAUGAGGAUGAUUCAGUUCAAGCCUUGGAAAAGAAGUGUGAGCAGAGGGAGUACAAAAUUUCAUGUGUUCGAUCUCUAGCAAUACUGACCGUAAACACACGAUGGUGCAACUAUUUUCAGAAAAUAUAUAUUCGGUUCAACAUAUUCUUAAUUUCCCAAUGCAGAAGGUAACACAUUCAGCUGCUACCCUUUGGACGCUGAAUAUACCCUUAUUUCCAUGGGAUCCAGGAAAGUUGUUGCGGUUCUUGCAGCUUAUUUCAAUUGAGAAUCAAUUAUUAAGCUUUGAAGCAUUUAAAGGAAGUGUCGCACCUAUCAGCUCAUUCUUCAGUUGCCAUGGUUAUUCAGCUUAUUAUUUGCUCCUGGGCAGCAUACUUGCUUGAAUCCGAUAGAAGGUACAACUGUUGCAAAUGUACUGGAGCAAGCCCUUGAGCUUUUGAUUAAUCGUUUCCAGGUUGUUCAGGUGAUCGCAUCAAUGGACGGGCACAUUACGGCAUCUAUUGUACUGCAGUUGCCUACCGAGCGUGUUUCCCGUCAAAUCUCACUGUGGAGAAGAGAAGGGUUUAAUCCUGGAGACAAGGACCAACCAGUGCGAUACGUGUGUCCAAAUUUCUGUUCGUUGAUCUGUUCGGAGAGCUAUCUUCAGUACAAGCAAUGGGAUCCCGGCAUCAAGUGGGUUAGUCCUGAAGGCUUGAGAAUGUUGUUGGCCAAAGUAAGGGAUGAUAGUUGUCGGCCUUCCACAAGUGUCAGGAUUUCUGUCCAUCGACCAUUUUGGCAAACAAGCUUCAGUACAUGACUUGGGAUCCUGGUGUACACAGGUGUCAGGAUUCCUGUCCAUUGACCAUUUUGGCAAACAAGCUUCAGUACAUGACUUGGGAUCCUGGUCUCCACAAUUGUCAGGAUUUCUGUCCAUUGACCCGGCAUCAAGUGGGUUAGUCUUGAAGGCUUGAUAAUGUUGUUGGCGUUAUCCUCUUCCUCACGUGCUGACAAUCUCCACAAGCGGCGUUAUCCUCUUCCUCACGCGCCGACGAUCUUCAGCAGCAACGGGGUGUGACAUUUCGGUGAGGCCGGACGAGUUCCGCUGGAGACAGUCACCAGAUGGCAUCUUCUCUGCAAGCUCGGCAUAUAAGCUUUUCUUCCUCGGCCGUGAAUUCUUGCCUUGUGCCGCCGAGCUUUGGUCAUCGUGGGCUCCGCUUGAAGUAAAAGUGUCCGUGUGGCUUGUGCUGCAUAAUAGGCUGUGGACUGCUGAUCGUCUUGCAAGAAGACAGUUGGAGCAUCCGAAGUGCUGCGUCCUAUGCUGUCAAGAGGAGGAGGAGGACAUUUUAACCAUCGGCUGUUGGGUUGCUCGUUCGCGAGGGAAGUCUGGUAUCAUUUUCUCCUGCGGUGGCGAUUGCAUAGGUUCACCCCUAAUUCGACAUCAACCAUUCUAGACAGUUGGGCAGUGAAAGAAGUUUAACACCCUAGCUUGCUUCGUCAUGCGCUACAUCUGGUUCGAGCGCAAUGGUAGGGUUUUCGACAAGGUUGCAGCUAUGCCUUGUGUUGUUAUUCAGCGAAUUUCUGAUGAGUUCAAUCUGUGGGUGACAGCUAGAUCAGGUGUGUCCAUAGGAAGAAUGAGUUAAGCUGUUUUUUUUUUGGAAUGUGCCGUGGAGUGCUCUUUCCUAUGUGGCACUUGUGAUAUAUAUGUAACAUUCUCUUCUAUCUUAAUAGAAAAGGCACACAAUGCUCUUGCGUGUUCUUGAAAUAUACGUUUGGCCUUUGCUGAAGCAGCAUAUGUCAAUCAGCAGGGUGAAAAAAUGACAGUGACUAGUAUGCAUCUGGAGAUAUGUGUGGUCUUUGUUUAAGCAGCAUGUGUCAGUCUGUAGGAUGAAUGAGUGACAGUAGUAAGGUGGGUGGAAGCAAGACAACUCAGCGGGAUGAGUAAAUGGAAGAAUGAACAAAUGAUAACCCACUCGGAGCCAGCUAAAAGACCAUAGUUGAUCCUAGUUAUUACCUUUCGAGGACAGGGGGGAUGAUACCAGGAACGCAAUCAUCAGCAAAUGUUUCUACAAAAAUGGCAGCAAGGGUAAGGUUUGUUCAUAACUUAUUGAAUUGAGAAUUUUCAGAUGUAGUGGUGUACACAACUGCGAAUUUUCAGAUGUAGUGGUGUACACUACGUCUCCAGAACACAUGAGCAAAUUGGACAUAUGAUUAAUUAUCAGCGGGUAGUUCAAAAAAUAUCAGCUAGAGUAACAUUUCUUCAGAAGUUAUUGAAUUGGGGGAUUUUCAGCUGUGAUGGUGUGCACUAAAUCUGCCAGCACACAUAAACGAAUUAGACCUGAUCUAUAUACGACUUAUAGAUCCACUUCUCAAAAGGGAUGUGAAGAUCUUUAUGUCUUUUUCGAUAAUUAAUUAGAACUUUAUUGAAAGAAUGGGGUUCUCUAUGGAAGGGGGGGCACCCUCUCUUCGUUUUUGAGAAAGAUAUGCUUAACUAGUUACAUGUGCUGAAGAUUGAAGUGUUUUGUUAACUCUUCACUGGUUCUAGAGAAUGUACUACAUAAAAGAUUCCUUGUUUAGAUAGGGAAAUGAUACAAAUUGUAUUUAAGAUAAUGGUAAAUAUACGGGAAGAAAUUACAUAGAAGGAAGGUUUUUAGCAUAUCGCCAAUGGAAAAAACUGUAGGCUAUCAAUUUAGAUGAAGCAGGUAAAAAGGAAAUGAAACAUACGACAGUGGCAAGCUCUGUUAUAGUUUGAGAAUUGAGGCUGGCAUCAAUGAGCUCCUCCUCGAGUGUCCGGCGAGUGACCCCAUACAGGCCCGACCACUUGAGUGCAUCUCCUCGACGUUGUCGAACACGGGCGGGACUCGAAUUCAUCGUAGAGAAUUUACUACUCGGCUAUUUGUCCCAGCCGAGAAAGUAAUCACCAAUCAGAUCAGAUGAACAUGAGAUCUCAAAAUGCCACUGGAAUCACGUUUUAAGUUUUUAACUGAACUUGUAAAGCUGCAGUGUUUGGUAUAGAACAGAAGGUCCUAAUGAAGAUGUAGUAUAACAGUAGAAAAUAAGAAGAAGGGAGUGGACCUGGACUAAGCUGUCCAUCCUGAGCAGCGGGAAGGCAU
rnacentral:lncRNA from 1 species